rnacentral:lncRNA from 1 species
ACUUUAGUAUAUUUGUUGAACCAGCCAUUACCAGUCAUUACACACUGAUAUUCUAAAACUCUUUACUGAAUCCACAUUUUGGUUAGUGUGUAAAAUCUGGUUUGUUACAACUGAACAUGCACACCAUUACUUCAUUAACCUGAGUUCUCCAAAAAGUUAGCAGAAGAUUUUUGGAUGCUAUUGAAUGGGAUAUAAUCUGCUAAAAGUAAGA